UCAUUGUUGGUUGGCAUCCCUGGGAAAGGCACAGGAGCUGAGCUGGGCCUGUGAAUGAAUAGAAUCUGGACAGGGAUGAGGCAAGGAGACAGGAGUGAUCUCUCCACCCUGGGCCAAGGUCUCUGUUAAUAUGGAACCAGUUCAUCACCCAAGAUAGGGGUCCUGCAGAGCAAGAAUGUUUCCCAGAAUGGCUGAUAAUGGUCUCCUCAGUGAAAAUUGAAUGACCUCUUGACUGUGGAUGGUGACAAUGAACAGAAUAAUGGUCCCCAAAAAUGCCUACGCCUAACUCCUGGAUGCUGUGAAUAUGUUGUGUUAUAUGGCAAGGAUAAACUAAAGUUGCAGAUGGGAAUUAAAGAUGUCAAUCAGCUGAGCUGGAAAUAAUUAGAGUGCCCUGGAUUAUUCAGUGCUUCCAGAAAGAACGCAGCCCUACUGACACCUUGGUUUUGGCCUGGUGAGACCAACUUUGGACUUUUCACUUCCAAAACUGUAAGUAAUAAAUUUGUGUUGUUUGAAGCCAACAGCAGAGGUGUCAUUUCAGUUUGUAGUCAUUGCUACAGCAGCACUAGGGAGCUGGCACACA